rnacentral:rRNA from 1 species
AAAGGAAUUGACGGGGACCCGCACAAGCAGCGGAGCAUGUGGUUUAAUUCGAAGCAACGCGAAGAACCUUACCAGGGCUUGACAUCCCCCUGACAGUGCCGUAACGGGCAUUUCCUACGGGCAGGGGAGACAGGUGGUGCAUGGUUGUCGUCAGCUCGUGUCGUGAGAUGUUGGGUUAAGUCCCGCAACGAGCGCAACCCUUGUCAUUAGUUGCCAUCAUUAAGUUGGGCACUCUAAUGAGACUGCCGGGGAUAACUCGGAGGAAGGUGGGGAUGACGUCAAAUCAUCAUGCCCCUUAUGUCCUGGGCUACACACGUGCUACAAUGGCCGGUACAAAGAGAAGCGAAACCGCGAGGUGGUGCAAAUCUCAAAAGCCGGCCCCAGUUCGGAUUGCAGGCUGAAACCCGCCUGCAUGAAGCCGGAGUUGCUAGUAAUCGCAAAUCAGCAUGUUGCGGUGAAUGCGUUCCCGGGUCUUGUACACACCGCCCGU